AUACGUAGGGGGCGAGCGUUGUCCGGAAUGAUUGGGCGUAAAGGGCGCGUAGGCGGCCCGGUAAGUCUGGAGUGAAAGCCCUGUUUUUAAGAUGGGAAUUGCUUUGGAUACUGUCCGGCUUGAGUGCAGGAGAGGUAAGUGGAAUUCCCAGUGUAGCGGUGAAAUGCGUAGAGAUUGGGAGGAACACCAGUGGCGAAGGCGACUUACUGGACUGUAACUGACGCUGAGGCGCGAAAGUGUGGGGAGCAAACAGGAUUAGAUACCCUGGUAGUCCACACUGUAAACGAUGAAUGCUGGGUGUAGGGGGUAUCGACCCCUUCUGUGCCGCAGUCAACACAAUAAGCAUUCCGCCUGGGGAGUACGGCCGCAAGGUUGAAACUCAAAGGAAUUGACGGGG
rnacentral:rRNA from 1 species